rnacentral:rRNA from 1 species
UACAAACUAAAUUAAAGUGAAACCGCGAAAGGCUCAUUAAAUCAGUUAUGGUUCCUUAGAUCGUACCCACAUUACUUGGAUAACUGUGGUAAUUCUAGAGCUAAUACAUGCAAACAGAGCUCCAACCGGAGACGGAAGGAGUGCUUUUAUUAGAUUAAAACCAAUCGGCGGCACAUUAUGGGUCACACUAUGGUGUGUUCGUCGACAAUUUUGAUGGCUCUGAAUAACUUUUGCUGAUCGCACGGUCUUGCACCGGCGACGCAUCUUUCAAAUGUCUGCCUUAUCAACUGUCGAUGGUAGGAUCUGCGCCUACCAUGGUUGUAACGGGUAACGGGGAAUCGGGGUUCGAUUCCGGAGAGGGAGCUUGAGAAACGGCUACCACAUCCAAGGAAGGCAGCAGGCGCGCAAAUUACCCACUCCCAGCACGGGGAGGUAGUGACGAAAAAUAACGAUACGGGACUCAUCCGAGGCCCCGUAAUCGGAAUGA